GCAUCGGUGGUUCAGUGGUAGAGUUCUCACCUUCCGCGUAGGAGACCUGAGUUCGGUUCCCAGCCAGUGUA
rnacentral:tRNA from 1 species